rnacentral:rRNA from 1 species
GACGAACGCUGGCGGCGUGCCUAAUACAUGCAAGUAUGACGCAAUUGCGAACGGGUGAGUAACGCGUAGGUAACUACCUAUUAGAGGGGGAUAACUAUUGGAAACGAUAGCUACUACCGCAUACUAGUAGAUAGAACUGCGUUGUAUUUGCUAGUAGGUAGGGUAAUGGGCUACCUAGGCAACGAUACCUAGCCGACCUGAGCGGUGGACAGGCCAACACGGGACUGAGACACGGCCCAGACUCCCACGGGAGGGCGAAGGAGGGAAUCUUCGGACAUGGGGGGAACCCUGACCGAGCAACGCCCGGUGAGGGAAGUAGGUUUUCGGAUCGUAAAGCUCUGUUGUUAAGGAAGCGGUACUUAUCCAUAAAGGUACGGCUAACUACGUGCCAGCAGCCGCGGUAAUUC